UUCAGUUAUACACUCCAUACUUUUUUGGGGCUCCUUUUGCACGAAUUACUGCAUCAGUGCGGCGUGGCAUAGAGGCGAUCAGCCGGUGGCACUGCUGAGGUGUCAUGAAAGCCCAGGUUGCU